AUGGAAGGUGCUGGCUUUGUGCUAAUUAGAACUUCCUUUCAGCUUCCAUCUGCACAGACACUGGAGCCCCUCACUGGUCAGCCUCACUGUUCCAACCCCCCUCAGUUUGCAACCUAGUUUUUGUCCCCCCUGCCCCGCCCUCCAUGAAUUAGGGGGUACUAUGAGUGGAGCUGCUUUCCUCUAUCUCUGGUCAAAUCCUGGCUCUUUGUGUAUUGCAGAACUGCACUGGGUGGUAUUUCUCAGGCCUUCUCUCUCUUAUUGGGGUGAAGAUGGAGUUGGAAGAUGGAGUUGGAAAGGGAUUUGGGCACCAUGGGCACCCUCCUGGGUAGGCUGGACUUACAUCAUUGACCUGAAUUUGUUUUAUGAAAGACCUCUCUCCUCUGCCCUCUGGAGACUGUGGCUUCAGACCCUUGUCCUUUCCAUUACCCCUAGUCCUGAUGUCUCCCAAGUCUGAUGGUACCCACCCAUCUCAACUACAGCUGCCAUCUUUGCCGUCUCAGGCAGCCUACAGGUAGGGGCUGUGUCCUUGGCCCUCUUCUGAAAAACAAACAAACAAACAAACAAAAACCUAUUUUUUUUUCCUUUACUUUUGCUUUUUAUUCCUUUCACUUCAGGCCCAAUGGAUAUAAUUUUUUCUUUAAUGGAAGUUGUCUCUUACAGAGGUUUCAUUGAAAAAGAAGAAACAACGUCACAUUAACGUCAUUUAAAGAAAAAGCACCUCUCAGAAUGGAGGUUGGGAAAGCUAGGGUUUCCUGCCUGAAUAUCAGUUCCUCUAUUGAAACGAAGGGAUGAAAUCCCUUGUAAGGAACUCAAGAGAGGAGCGUUCCCUCAAAAUGCUUUCUUUAGCUCCUGAGUCUCCUUAGGUCUACACUGGGGUUGUGUGUAAAAAUACCAAGCCCUCCCUGACAAUGCAUCUCCUUCUCUUCUGCUUGAAUUAUCCUGAUAAUGAGAGUUCACCCACUUCUUUGACAGUGUAGACUAGGAUUUUAAAAAUUGGGAGUGAAUUGUUGGACAGUGUGACACUUCACCAGAUUCCCUCAAGGUUCUGGACCUACGCUAAAGAGGGGUGGAAAUGCUUCUGGGGUGUCCAGAAGGGCUGCAGAAAUUCCCCAUCACUGGUCAUGGGGAGAGCAGGAGGACUGGCUUCCCUCUGUGGCCUAUUCUGCCUCUGAAGGUGACAAUUCCUGAUUUGAGGCACUAGGGUGGAAGAUCCAGGACUAUCCAGGACCAGGUUAAUAAAUUGGCAGUCCAGAUUCCAGAAGGGCAGCAGCUGGGGACUGGAGACAUGCCCAUGCCUGUGGGACAGAGUUCUUUUGCAUGCUUUGGACUUUACAACUCUGUAUCCUUGACAAGUCACAGGCAUCUCUGGGUGAAAUGGGGACAAUAGUACCCAUACCUCCAAGGGUUAUGUGAGAAUUAAGUAAAAUAUACAAAUAAAGUGCCUGGCAUACAAUGGGCACUGAGCAAAUGGUAGCUCUUUUUUCCAGGCUGGGGCAAGGGAUGCAUAUAAAUGUCUGGAUCCGAAGUUUGAAAUUCCACCUGCUGGAGACAGUGAACACCCCAAUAGAUACCCCAAAUCGUAUUGAAGGACGGAUGACGGGAUGCCUUCCUCCCCCAGGGCAUGCCAUACACACUGGGUCUGAAGUGGGAGAAUCGGCACCCCAAAAAACGGCUUGUGGAGCGGGAUUGCACAUGGGUGUAAAGUUCCCAGCUUGGCUGCCUGGGGAGGGGGACACAUAAAUGUCUUUAGAGAUUUGAAGGGAGCAGGAUCUGGACUCACUUGCGUUGCCAAGACGGCUGGGGCUGGGAGCCAAGGGGGUGCUGCCGGGAGGCCCGCGUUAGCUUGGGGUAUGACAUUUCUAACAGUUGGCGCCUGCGGAAAAUGGCCUGGGGUUCCAGCUCUGGAAGGUUCCGAAUCUCAGGAUUCACGAGUGGCGCUGUCCGGAGCAGCCAGGGUUGUCCCGAGGUGGUCUCUGGCAGGCUUUCCACGAUGUGCUGUCUGGGUCGCAGGUGAGAACCUCAUGGUUCUCCAUUUCCGGAACUCCAGCUCUGAGCAGGCAGAGGGGCGCUGCCCUCGCCUGCCCCUGCGGUAGCCAAGCAGGUGGCUGGAAGCAUGGCUAGCUGGCGGGUAAGGAGCUCCGGGUGAGACGGAACAGCCGGAGACCCCCAAUCCCCUUAGCCGGUGCCCCACCCGAUUUCUCUCCUGCGUCCCGGGAGGGCAUGGUUGAGGCGCCACCAGUGACCAGCAACCUCCCCAGGCUGUGGUUGUGACCUGAGGACGCGUGUGUCUCCGCCCCCAGGCCAACGCUAGGCGACCCUGAGUGCACCUUCAAGAAGGCCUGGUAUGUUUCUGGGCGGUCGUGGGGGGUGCCUGAUAUCUCGGCUCUGUUUUACAGUUACUCCCCUGCUGGUGCCUCCCUCCUUGGCGCGGUUUCUGCCUGCGAUCAGCGCCCUCUUCGCAGUCACGAACUCGCCAGCAGCUAGCAGCACUUACUAGUAGGAGGGCCCACCGGAGGAGAGGAAACCCCAGAGAGAUUGGUGAUGGUGAUUUCCCAGGAAGACGUGGUGUGCUCCAACUUCUGUGACAGUGAGCAACGGGACCAAUGGAUGUCCGGAUGCUGGCAAUGAGUAGGCCUUCCCUACGCUGGGUGGCGUCCACACCCUUUGGCUUCCAUUGCCUGGGUCUCCUGGAGGACAUGCUCUGGAGUCAGAAGACAGCAAAAAGAGAAGCAGAAGUCCCGGUGGCAAGAGUCCAAAGGAAGGAAUCACUGUAACCUGUGGAUUGUACUGCAGUAGGAAACUAUCCUAGCAAGGCUCCACUUUGCCCCAGCUUCAAGCUGGAAAGGAGGAGAACAUGAAACGUUGCUUGAAGACAAUGGCCGAGACAGCAGGUCCCACCCUGCACAGCCGCCAACAUCUCUUCCCUCAGCCUUGUCUCUUCUUCUGCAGUUGGGAUCUGCACAUUUAAGCCUGAAAUUGUCCUGUGAAGUGAAGUAUGAUCGGACAGCCUCUUUUCAGCUUUUAUGAAAAUGGAGACAGAGGAAUUGUGGCUCUUGCCAAGGUCACAGGAUUGGAACACAGAGCCAAGCCACCCCAGGACAUGCAAGAGCCUCAGAAGGGAAAAAGCCCAGCAGGAAGGGAGAACAAGUAGCCUCUGUUCUGAGGUUGUAACAGCCAGGGACCAGGAUGGAGGAGGAGGACUCCGUAAUCCUGCCCAUCUGGGACUUGGCAGGGGACCUGGGAAAAUGUACCCCAAUCCAUCCCUCAAGGGCCUUUGCCUUUGGCCCAUUGGCCUAGCAUCUCCUUCUUCACUAUGUCUGUUCUUGUCAGAUCUGUUUGGGUCUGAGGUGCAUGGAACAUUCUGGGUAGGCCUCCAGCAAACGGAAGCUCUUCACCGUGUUUCCAGCCUAGGACCAAGAGCAGCACACUGGCAAAGUUGCCAAAGCAAGGGACUCCAGCCUGCUAGGAGUUAACGACUCCCUCUCCCCAGCUGUCCUCCCCUUGGUGCUCCUCUUCCUCCCUCCUCCUGCUCACAGCAGGCAGGGCCUGGACCCGGGAGCCAUGCUGCUGUGCUGUUGCCAGGGGAGUCCGGAGGCAGAUCUGAGCUAUGCAGGGAAAAGGCCCGGCCUGUCAAAGUGUCUGAGAUGAACCGCCGCCGUCCCUGUGCAGCUGGGCUCAGACGUGUCUCAGCUCUUGUUCUGUGCCUGAGAAUGGCGAAACCCAGUGAGGUUCAAGGGCAAACUCGCUAUUCAUUAGUCAGGGGUUCUUGACGUCCCGUCUCUCCCAGGGAUGGGUUCCCCCCCUUCCUCUUUCUCCCCCUCCUAUGACACAUUCCUGGGUGCCUUUGGUGAGGACUGCACACCCUCCUCCUGCCUAGCCCCCUUUCCAAGGGCCUCUGAAUAAACUCCCCCCAAGGAGACCAGGCAGGGUAGAGACAAUGGCUGCAGGAAAUCAUUCAGGCGGGACAUGCUGGCCUGCCCUCCACCCAGUCCCCCUGUGGGCCCCACUCCCUUCUGAUUCAGGGCACCCUUGGGCCCCUAGCCUAUACAGGCCUGGAUAGGAAGAAGCCACUAGGAACAACCCUGAGGACAUCAUGUUAGUCCAGUGCCAUUCUCCGCUGGCUCUGUGGGUGCCUUUGUGGCCUGCACCAACUGGCAGGCUAAUUUUGUGGUUUCUGUACCAUCACAUGCCUAUUUCAAGACACUCUCAAGCACUGUCAGUUGGGGAGUGUAAAUUCUACAAUAUUUUCUGAAAUGUGGCAAUAUCAAAAUGUAAAAGGCAAAUAUACUUGGUCACAAAAAUGGCACUGUUUACUCUGUGGGCAUAUUUGUAAAAGUUCCCAAAGAAUUACAUACAAGGAUGUUCAUCAGAGCAUUUCUUUUGAAGAGUGUAAAGAAAUGGACAUGAACCUAUGGUCUGUUCAUACUGUGGAAUACCUAUGCAGCUGUAAAAAUCAGUGUGGUAGAUCUCCGUAUAUGAGUUGAUGUGGAAGGUUGGCCAGUUCACAUGAUAAGGUGAAUAGAAUAAGUUACAGAACAGGCUGUGGAGUAUGAUCUUAUUUGUAGAUGUUUAAAAGUGAGUCAUAAGUAUGCUUAUAUACGGAAGUAUGUACUGGAAGGCUACCUCUAGGGAGUGGGCAUGGGGGAAUGCACUCUUCUAUACUGUUCUGUUUUCUUUUCGUGCUCCUAAGAUACUUUUAUUGAAAGAUGUAAAGGGUUGUUCAGUAUAAUAGGCUUAACUUCUAUCAACUAACUUGGCGUGGGUGCUUUAAGAGGGUGGUAGUGAUGUUACUGGAGAAAGUAUCCCACAAUUACUGGUGGCUUCAGCCAUGGGCCAUUUUGGGGCCUAAUAAUCACAUAUCAUCAUGGUUGCUAGUGUUAAUCGAAAACCUACUAAGUGCCAGGCUUACUGUCUCUGGGUCUUGCUUACGUGGGUAUCAUUAUUCCAGUUUCACCAAAUCAAAAGAAGUUAAUUGGUUUGUUGCAGCUCCUCUGCAGGUGAGGGGCAGAGCCAGGAGCUUGGCUAGGGACAGGGGAGGUGGGUGGGGGAUGGUGGCUAGAUCUUGGCUCUCAGUUUCUUUCCAUGCAGACAUUGCCCCUCUGCCCUGAGGACCUGCUUGUUUGGGGGAGGAGGCCUUUGGAGGCACCGGGGUCAUGCCAGGUGUUGGACAUGGUGAACUGGGAAGUGUUCCCAUUUGGCCAUAGCCCAAAAGUAUCACCGUGCUGGGGGGUGGGGAACAGGGCUGUGAAUGGGCCUAUUUGCAUAAGCAGCAUGUGUGGAGAGAAAGACAUCGCAGAGCAGAAGAGGUGUGGGUGCCCAGUAGGGCAAUUGCCACCCCUACUUCAUCCCUGAAAGAGUAAAUGGCCUGGAAAGUGUCUCCAAGAGGUAAUGCUGCACACUACCCUCCCUGGUGGCACUGGGUCAGGUUACACCUGCCUUAGGUCGGUGGCUGCAGCAGCCUGCAGAGCUCUCAGUAGUGCCUCAGUAGCCUGGGAGGGAGUAGGGGCAGGGGGCAGGAAGAGGCAUAAUGGGGCUGUCCAGAGGGGUCUGGGAAACCUGGUCCCUGAGGCCUGGGCACAGCUACAGUCACUUCAGAUUGGCUGUGGGGCCAGUGGACUGGGAAGGAAAAAAGCAUUAAGAGUGACCAAGUGCAGAAGGCUGUCAGGUCCCAGGUCACAUGCCUUAGUGCAGUGACUCCUCAUCAUUUUGUGGUGUGUGGGUGUCAUUGGUACACCCAUUUUGCAGAUGAGGACACUGAGGCCCAGAAAAGUUAAGUUACAUGUCCUAAGUCACACAGCUUGUAAGUGCCAGAACUGAGAUCAAAACCAAGUCUCUUUGACUUUGAAGUCUGUACUUUGACUCCAAAGACAUCCUGUUUCGUUUGGCCACUUAUAGGAGGUCCCUAAAGCUGCAGACUCCCCUUGCCAGUGCCCACAUAUAGAGACAUUAACCCCUGCCCUGCAGGGUCACCUCAAAUAAUCUUUUAGCUGGGCUUCUCCCACAGUUCCACCUAAUGCCAUCCCCUGGGUUUUGCCCAAACCUGGACUGGGCAGCGGGGUGAGAGGAGGGGUUUACAGGGUUACAGAGCCUCAUACAGAUUGGAGCCCAUGGCUGCUGGUCAUCUGUAUCCCUGCAGGAUUGGCUGUUCCUUGGGGUCCUUGGCAGGAAGAUGAGGAUGCUCCCGAGACCUGCUCCAGUGCUUGCCAGAGGCUGGCCUGGUGGCCUCUGGAAAGACUGAGGCUGGAGAGGCAGAAGUAGGAGAGCAGCAAUGGCACUCAGGUAGCUUGAAUCACCAGGACCCUUCCAAGCCCCACAGGUCCUCCUGAGGGAGUACUAGGGCAUCCUCUGGGAGAGGUCUCUUCCUAUGCUGUGAACCCCCUGCCUUUCUUGCAACCUACAAUGAAUAAAUUUUCUUUGCAAAGC